rnacentral:rRNA from 1 species
UAAGGAAUAUUGCGCAAUGGGGGAAACCCUGACGCAGCAACGCCGCGUGGAGGAUGACACUUUUCGGAGCGUAAACUCCUUUUAUCAGGAAAGAAUAAUGACGGUACCUGAUGAAUAAGCACCGGCUAACUCCGUGCCAGCAGCCGCGGUAAUACGGGGGGUGCAAGCGUUACUCGGAAUCACUGGGCGUAAAGGACGCGUAGGCGGAUUAUCAAGUCUUUUGUGAAAUCUAGUGGCUUAACCACUAAACUGCUUAGGAAACAGAUAGUCUAGAGUAGGGGAGAGGUAGAUGGAAUUCUUGGUGUAGGGGUAAAAUCCGUAGAGAUCAAGAAGAAUACCCAUUGCGAAAGCGAUCUGCUGGAACCUAACUGACGCUGAGGCGUGAAAGCGUGGGUAGCAAACAGG